UAUCCUGGCCUGCAGUGCACGC
rnacentral:miRNA from 1 species